rnacentral:rRNA from 1 species
AUUGAACGCUGGCGGCAGGCCUAACACAUGCAAGUCGAACGAGUGGCGGACGGGUGAGUAAUGUCUGGGAAACUGCCUGAUGGAGGGGGAUAACUACUGGAAACGGUAGCUAAUACCGCAUACCAUCAGCUGUGCCCUGAUGGCAUUAGCUAGUUGGUGGGGUAACGGCUCACCAAGGCAACGAUCCCUAGCUGGUCUGAGAGGAUGACCGGCCACACCGGAACUGAGACACGGUCCAGACUCCUACGGGAGGCAGCAGUGGGGAAUAUUGCGCAAUGGGCGAAAGCCUGAUGCAGCAAUGCCGCGUGUAUGAAGAAGGCCUUCGGGUUGUAAAGCACUUUCAGCGGGGAGGCGGUACCCGAAGAGGAAGCACCGGCUAACUCCGUGCCAGCAGCCGCGGUAAUAC